AGUGAGUGAUGUAUACUUAGUUAUAUAACUAGAAUGUUCUACAUAGACAUCAUUAAUGUUUUAUUAUACUGUUUGAUGAAGUAGAUGCUGAUUCACUCUUCAUUUUCGUUUGCUAUUUAAAUGUGCUUAUGUAAUAAAACUUACAUGGAUAAAAGAUUGAUGUAACAAUAAGAUGUUGUGAUGGCGUCAGCUUUAAGGAAGGCGGAAGAGGAAACUAACUGGAUUAAGUUGAUGGGACUGAUUGUUGAUUGUGGUGGAGAGGCUUUAAGAAUAACAUUGAGGAAACAACUGUCAGAAAGGUGUUAAGAGAACUGUGGAUGGUUUAGAGAAAGAAUUGGAACAAGUAAAAGAUAGCGUCUCAGUAAUUAAAGACGAAGUACAUGAAAUACGACAUCACUCUCACUUAGGUCCAGAAGAAGAUAUGUUGACAAAAAACUUGAGAUGAAGUUGACGGUAGCAUUGCGUUUCUGGAUAGUAGAUACAUAAUACGUGAAAGUUCAGUACCUUAUGGACAAAAACAGGCAGUUGAUAUGUGUGUCAAAAUUUGGCAAAAAGAUAAUGGAAUAAUUUUAGUCGAUUUUAAUAACAAGUAUUUGCAUGACUUUUAUUAAUUUUGCAUUGUAAUAUAGAAUGUAAUCGUAAAGAAAUUGUUUUGUUGAAAAA